UAGUGAUUCCUACGGGAGGCAGCAGUGGGGAAUAUUGGACAAUGGGCGAAAGCCUGAUCCAGCAAUGCCGUGUGAGUGAUGAAGGCCUUAGGGUUGUAAAGCUCUUUUACCAGGGAUGAUAAUGACAGUACCUGGAGAAUAAGCUCCGGCUAACUCCGUGCCAGCAGCCGCGGUAAU
rnacentral:rRNA from 1 species